UCUUCCACAUUUGAACUUAGAUAGGAUUCAGGCUCAUCCGCGAAACAACAGUAGGGAAUGGUCUGCAUGGAGGAAAGUGUGAUGCAGCAACGCGGCGUGAGAGAUGAAGGUCCUUGGAUGGGAUAGGUAUGUUGCCAGGGAAGAACGCGACGGAGAGUAACUGCUUUUAGUGUGACGGUACCUGAGAAGAAAGCCCCGGCUAACUACGUGCCAGCAGCCGCGGUAAUAAGUAGGGGGCGAGCGUUUUCCGGAAUUAUUGGGCGUAAAGCGCGCGCAGGCGGCAAUGUAAGUUGGGUGUUUAAACCUCGGGCUCAACCUUGGGUCGCAUCCAAAAAUGCAUAGCUUGAGUACAGAAGAGGAAAGAGGAAUUCCACGUGUAGCGGUGAAAUGCGUAGAGAUGUGGAGGAACACCAGUGGCGAAGGCGACUUUCUGGGCUGUAACUGACGCUGAGGCGCGAAAGCGUGGGGAGCAAACACGAUUAGAUACCCUGGUAGUUCACGCCGUAAACGAUGAAUGUGUAGGUGUUAGGGGAUUCGAUUCCUUUAGGUGCCGCAAGUUAACGACCAUUAAGCAUUCC
rnacentral:rRNA from 1 species